CGCGUAGGCGGCCAUUCAAGUCAGGCGUGAAAGCCCCGGGCUCAACCUGGGAAUUGCGCUUGGGACUGGGUGGCUGGAGUUCGGGAGAGGAGCGUGGAAUUCCCAGUGUAGAGGUGAAAUUCGUAGAUAUUGGGAAGAACACCGGUGGCGAAGGCGGCGCUCUGGACCGAUACUGACGCUGAGGCGCGAAAGCGUGGGGAGCAAACA
rnacentral:rRNA from 1 species